CCCAUUCUCACUCCAAAGGCGUCAAAAACCGAAGCAUGGUCAAGCGCCCCUAGCGUCACUUUUAUGACGCCAAAUGUGCCUCUCGGCGUCGACUAUCGAAGCACUACGACCUUCAUUGCUUUCAGUGGGAAACUUUUGGCGUCAGAAUUCGACACGAGGACAUGAGAUGUUUAUCGCUAUGAAAUCACGUUCAAGAAGUCUCAUUCAGCACACAUCGCGCGAUACUUGCUAUCAGUUCCACAGUUUGGCUGAAAAGACGUAAAGGCAGUCAGCCCAGUGGUGUUUCUGGAGAGGGAUUCCUUCAGAAAUGGAGAAGACAGAAAGCUGCGGAGGCAGAUAUUUGCAGCAGAUUUUUUCCAGAUAAUGCUGUUCUUCUUUUUCAGGUCUAAAAUAUCGAGCUCAACAGCUAUUUUAAGAGCCAACCCUCACAAACCUUCCUAAAAACUAAGAGCUAUUACUGAGUCUCAGCGAAUCUUGCCAUGAUCAGCUCUUCCCAGAAGAGAAGGAAGACCAAGGAUAUGAUUUGCUCAGGAUGAGGAAUGAAGAUGGCCAUCUUGAGCUCAAACAAACAGAAGUCCUCUGAUGAUCUCAUCAGCCAAAUGAGGGGUUUUGACCAAGUGAUGCUCUUGAAAGGAGUGAAAGAAGAGGAUGUGGUAAAUUGUCUUCAGAGAAAAGCUUCUCAAAAGAUCUUAAAACAGCUUGAAGAAUGGUCUGGGAUCUUAGGACUGAGAGAUCAUCUGGCUGAGAACAAGCUACACCUCAUCAGUGCUGGACAUCAACCACAAACUGUUUCCAGACACGAGAGAAGAAGAUCACGAUGGGGAGAUGAAACCAGUUUAGAUGUGAUGAUGGGAAUCAUUAUUUUCUGAAACAGUAUCACAUGUCUUAUAUGUAUCACAUGAUCUGUAUCACAGUUGACUGGAUGGGACUGUGUGACUUUUAAGGACAUUUCAUCACUCAUCUGUGUUAACUGAUUUAUAUAUGAGGUUAAUGUAUCUUUGAUGAUAAUUAUUUUCAUUGAAUCUUAUUUGUCUUGAUGCUACUUUAUCAACUUUAUAGUCUAUGCUUCAAUAAAAUGAAAAUGGUGAA